AAAUGACUCUCGGCAACGGAUAUCUCGGCUCACGCAUCGAUGAAGAACGUAGCAAAAUGCGAUACUUGGUGUGAAUUGCAGAAUCCCGUGAACCAUCGAGUUUUUGAACGCAAGUUGCGCCCAAAGCCUUUCGGUUGAGGGCACGUCUGCCUGGGUGUCACAU
rnacentral:rRNA from 1 species